ACAAGUUAACGGAGCCUUUUAUACAUCGUCGUGUUGCUUUAGAAAUAAACAACGGACAAAUGGAGUCUUUAAACGCAUCACAUGUGAAGUUAGUCACUGUCAAAGUGGUGCCAAAAUGAAUGGGAGUCAAUGGGAUG